UCAUUGCACACACACAGAGCAGCAGCAAACCCCCCGUUUUAUGCGAACCUCAUGAAUGUCCCCCUCCCUCGGCCGGUGUCCUCCCCUCCCCUCCCCUCCCUUCCCUGCCAGCCAGCCUGCCUGCAGCAGAUGGUCGGUCUGGUGGUGUGUUGGUCGGGGGACUUGGUGACCAAAAAAAACCGAUGGCGCAAUGCAUCAACACCUUCAAAAUAUGACUGAGUAUGGAAAACCGGGGGCGCGCGCGUGCGUGUGCCCCCCGAGUUGUGAAAAUAAACAAGAACAACUCUCAGCAACGGAUAUCUUGGCUCCUGCAACGAUGAAGAACGCAGCGAAAUGCGAUACGUAGUGUGAAUUGCAGAAUUCCGCGAAUCAUCGAGUCUUUGAACGCAAGUUGCGCCCGAGGCUUGCCCUGGGGCAUUUCUGUCAGAGCGUCACCGCGACACCCACCGACCCCCCACUCCCUCUUGAAUGAAUGGGUGGGGGGCCGAGUGAAAGUGGCCAUCCGAGCGCCUCCUCCGAGGGGCUGGGUUGGCUGAAAUGGAGGGAAUUCUGGCCGCCGUGGCGACACGGCCCGCGAUCAGGUGAUCCAAGUCUCGUUUCUUGGAACUCAAUGCGCGUUGGCCGUUGACCCUAAACCGCCGCCCCCCAACUCAAUGUGGGUUGGUUGGUUGGUUGGUUGGUUGGUGCCGAGGAUUCCAGAGCAGGUCCCUCCUCCUCCUUCUUCGGAAGGAGUCGGCGGAAAAA
rnacentral:rRNA from 1 species